AUACGUAGGUGGCAAGCGUUGUCCGGAAUUAUUGGGCGUAAAGCGCGCGCAGGCGGCCGGGUAAGUCUGAUGUGAAAGCCCGGGGCUCAACCCCGGUGUGCAUUGGAAACUGUCCGGCUUGAGUGCAGGAGAGGAAAGCGGUAUUCCACGUGUAGCGGUGAAAUGCGUAGAGAUGUGGAGGAACACCAGUGGCGAAGGCGGCUUUCUGGCCUGUAACUGACGCUGAGGCGCGAAAGCGUGGGGAGCAAACAGGAUUAGAUACCCUGGUAGUCCACGCCGUAAACGAUGAGUGCUAGGUGUUGGGGGUUUCAACACCCUCAGUGCCGCAGCUAACGCAAUAAGCACUCCGCCUGGGGAGUACGGUCGCAAGACUGAA
rnacentral:rRNA from 1 species